rnacentral:lncRNA from 1 species
AACCUCCCCACAUGAAGAAUUCAGUCAGCUUAGCAGGAAAGGCUGGAAGCCAACAGGUCGCUGAAGGAUGGAGAGCCUCAACUUGCCUGCCUGUGUGAACUUGGCUCAUGAUUUAUAGAGCCUCAGGACCUGGGCUUCCUUGCAAGGUUAUGAAAGAUGCUUCUGAAGAGGAAGGUAUUUACUCCUUGGGACAAGUCAUGUACAACCAAGACAAAUCUACCACACAAACUUCCAGCCUGGAGGAGGCAAAUGCAAAGAAUCGUCCACACCUAAACCUGAGAGUCAUUCAUACUACACAGGGAUUUCUCGAGUUCAACUGGAUGGCAACACUGUCCCCCGAAGAACACAGCUGGGAAGAGCCAGAAAAUAGAACAUUACAUUUGGUAACUGCAUUGGUGUGAGCUGGUAUCAUGAAUGGACACAGUGCCAUUCUCUGCAUUCCUUCUGUAUUGCACUGUGAUGGGAGAGAUCACAAAUACAAUUCCUGCUAUGCAGAUUGCGAUUAUGAUAGAUGAAAACCCCUUUCUUGUUCUCUCUCUUGACCUUCUGGCGUAUGCUGAAUCUAACCGAGUUUUUAAAGGCCCUAAUUCAUAAAUCUAAUAACAACACUAAGAGAAGCUGAGGUGUGUUCUCUUAAUCAUCAAUGGAACUGGUAUCACAUUUUCUUUGUAAAAAAGCUGCAGUAGGGCUGGAAAAAAAGGAUCUUGGCUGAGUUUCAGGCUCGACCGUUAGGCAGGAAACCGUCCUGCUGCCACCAUAAGGAAAAA